GAUGAACGCUAGCUACAGGCUUAACACAUGCAAGUCGAGGGGCAGCAUUUUAGUUUGCUUGCAAACUAAAGAUGGCGACCGGCGCACGGGUGAGUAACACGUAUCCAACCUGCCGAUAACUCGGGGAUAGCCUUUCGAAAGAAAGAUUAAUAUCCGAUGGUAUAUUAAAACCGCAUGGUUUUACUAUUAAAGAAUUUCGGUUAUCGAUGGGGAUGCGUUCCAUUAGUUUGUUGGCGGGGUAACGGCCCACCAAGACUACGAUGGAUAGGGGUUCUGAGAGGAAGGUCCCCCACAUUGGAACUGAGACACGGUCCAAACUCCUACGGGAGGCAGCAGUGAGGAAUAUUGGUCAAUGGACGAGAGUCUGAACCAGCCAAGUAGCGUGAAGGAUGACUGCCCUAUGGGUUGUAAACUUCUUUUAUAUGGGAAUAAAGUAUUCCACGUGUGGGAUUUUGUAUGUACCAUAUGAAUAAGGAUCGGCUAACUCCGUGCCAGCAGCCGCGGUAAUACGGAGGAUCCGAGCGUUAUCCGGAUUUAUUGGGUUUAGAGGGAGCGUAGGUGGAUUGUUAAGUCAGUUGUGAAAGUUUGCGGCUCAACCGUAAAAUUGCAGUUGAAACUGGCAGUCUUGAGUACAGUAGAGGUGGGCGGAAUUCGUGGUGUAGCGGUGAAAUGCUUAGAUAUCACGAAGAACUCCGAUUGCGAAGGCAGCUCACUAGACUGCAACUGACACUGAUGCUCGAAAGUGUGGGUAUCAAACAGGAUUAGAUACCCUGGUAGUCCACACAGUAAACGAUGAAUACUCGCUGUUUGCGAUAUACAGUAAGCGGCCAAGCGAAAGCAUUAAGUAUUCCACCUGGGGAGUACGCCGGCAACGGUGAAACUCAAAGGAAUUGACGGGGGCCCGCACAAGCGGAGGAACAUGUGGUUUAAUUCGAUGAUACGCGAGGAACCUUACCCGGGCUUAAAUUGCAUUUGAAUAAUCUGGAAACAGGUUAGCCGCAAGGCAAAUGUGAAGGUGCUGCAUGGUUGUCGUCAGCUCGUGCCGUGAGGUGUCGGCUUAAGUGCCAUAACGAGCGCAACCCUUAUCUUUAGUUACUAACAGGUCAUGCUGAGGACUCUAGAGAGACUGCCGUCGUAAGAUGUGAGGAAGGUGGGGAUGACGUCAAAUCAGCACGGCCCUUACGUCCGGGGCUACACACGUGUUACAAUGGGGGGUACAGAAGGCAGCUACCUGGCGACAGGGUGCUAAUCCCAAAAACCUCUCUCAGUUCGGAUCGAAGUCUGCAACCCGACUUCGUGAAGCUGGAUUCGCUAGUAAUCGCGCAUCAGCCAUGGCGCGGUGAAUACGUUCCCGGGCCU
rnacentral:rRNA from 1 species